AUUGUCUGCACUUCAACAUUUUGAUGUGUAUUUGAAUCCCACUAUGCAUCAUAUCGUUGUUUAUACUGAUCAUAAUCAUCUCACUUUCAUACAAAAAAUGAGAAACAAGAACCAGAGGUUGACUAGGUGGAGUUUAUUGUUACAGGAAUAUGAUGUUAUUGUAAAACAUAUCAAAGGUAAAGAUAAUGUAACAGCAGAUGUUUUAUCUAGAUCUUAUUAAAACACUGUAUGCAUACUAUAUAUUUUUGUACAUUUUGUUCAUGAGAAGUUCUUGUUAAGCUCAAACCUUUUUAAGGGGGAGGUAUUAUGAGAUUGUUAUUAUCAUAAUUAUUUAUCUUGGCCUGAUUUGUUUUGUGUGACCUAUUAUAAGUUGUUUACAAAAUAAUGUUAUAAUUGUGCAGUUUAGAAAUCACUGGAACACUCAUAGAUACUGAUGGAAUGAUUAGAACUUUCUAUUUUACUUACAUAACGAUUCUAGAAUGAUCAUAAUCGACGAUGCGUAAUUUAAACUUCUACAUUGUUCUAGAAGUUUCCCUUCUCAAGUUUUCUAGCAGUUUCCAAUCUACAGUGUUCUAAGAGUUUCUGUGACAACUAUAUAUACAGACACCGAAAUAAGACUUAUCAGACAUUAAUAUACUUGGAUUCUCAGAAGUUCUCUGAAGUUGUUGGAUUGACAUUAUUAUCAUACUAGAUUGUGAACUUAUUGGACAUAUUCCGUGACAGUUAAGAGAAAAACAGUUAAGAGAAAAAUUCCGGGUGAAGAAAAGACAAAGGAUUGGACAUAUAUUUUAACAAUUUCAACUCCCGCAGUCAAAUUUGUCCUAAGAUGGAUUCGGCUAUUAAUCAUUGGUCGGGAAGAAGCUUAAGAUAACUAAACAUCGUUUAUACUAAAAAUUGUAAAAUCAUACAACAAUUGAAAAUCUAACCAUGAGAGGAAGAUAACCAAACAUCAUAUUCAUCAAAGAAAAUUAAGUAAGACAAAGAGAUUUAACAACGAUUCAUUAGAAGCUGACAACUAAACAUCAUCAUCAAAUAAAAUAAACUAAAACGACAAAAAUUGAACAUCCAACCAUGAGAAAACAAUUACUCAACAUCAUCAUAAUAAGAAAUCAACUACAAAGAUUAAAAAUAUAACCAAGAGAUGAAGAUAACCAAACAACAUCUUCAAAGAAAUUCAAUAACACGACAAAGAUUGAACAUCCAACCAUAAGAAGACGAUAACUAAACAUCAUCAACAAAGAAAAUAAAAUAAACGACAAAGAUUAAACAUCAAACCAUGAGAAGAUGAUAGCAAAACAUCCUCUUCAAAGAAAAUGAAAAAACGACAAAUAUUGGACAUCUUACCAUGAGAAGACUACAACUAAAAAUCAUCCCCAAAGAAACGAAAAUAAAACGACAAAGAUUUAACAUCGAACCAUAUGAAAACGACAAAUAGAAAUCAUCCUAAAAAAAAAAGACAAAUAAAUGAAACAGUAGUAUACCGUUGUUCGAAAUUCGUACAUCGAUUGAGAAAAAAACAAAUCCGGGUUACAAACUAAAACUGAGGGAAACACAUCAAAUAUAAGAGGAGAACUACGACACAACAGAAACACAACAUUAAAAUGUAACACACACAGAAACGAACUAUAAUAUAACAAUGGCCAUUUUCCUGACUUGGUACAGGACAUUUUAAGAAAAAAAUGGUGGGUUGAACCUGGUUUUGUGGCUAGCCCAACCUCCCGCUUUUAUGGCAAUGUUAAAUAUAACAUUAAAAUGACAACAUUACAUGACAGGACUACAAUACAAAUAAAUGGGAAAACAUAUAGGACAGAGAAACAUACGAAUAAUAGCUAACAAAAGGUACCAGGUUUAAAAUUUAAUACACCAAGACGCGCGUUUCGUAAACACAAGACUAACCAGUGACGCUCAGAUCAAAAAAGUACGAAAGCCAAAACAAGUACAAAGUUGAAGAGCAUUGAAGACCAAAAGUUCCAAAAAGUUGUGCCAAAUACGGCUAAGGUUAUAUGUCUGGGAUACGAAAAUCAUUAGUAUUUAGAAUAAUUCAUACUUUUGCAAACAGUAAAUCUAUAAAAAAUGACUAUAUAAUAGAUAUACAUGAUAACGCCGAAGUGGUGACUAACUACAGAAUAAAAGAUUUAACAUCGAACAAUGAGAAGACGACAACUUAAAAUCAUCUUCAAAGAAAAUAAAAUAGAUUGAACAUCAAACCAUAAAAAGAAGAUAAGUUUACAUCAUCAAAUGUACCAGGCUCACAAUUUCUAACGCCAGACGCAUUCGUUUACAUAGGACUCGUCAGUGCUUUUCGAAUAAAACAAUUAGAUGACCAAAUCACCAAAUCAAACAAGAAGCGGAAGGGCGUUGCAAGCCGAAUAUUUCGAGAAAAAAAUGUCCAAAUACGGCUAAGGUCAUAUAUGUCUGGGGAUAUGAAAAAACUAAAUAAAAGUUUUGGUGUUUCUAAAAAUUCAUUACAAUAUAAACUAGUUUCAGGGAUAUUUGUUAUUUCUAAUUAAAACUAUUCAUAUAUAGGACAUAGACAUAAAUUAUACAUUUAUUAUACAAUCCCACAAAAAUUAAAACAUAAAAUCGAAUAUCACAAUGUAGAUACUGCGUUGGAGAGUUAGAAGUCGAUAUUAUCUUACGAGCAGAAACAAAACAAAUAAUACAAUUUAUUUGCAUAUAAAACCAAAUUUACUGUACGUAUUUGUAUAAAGAAUAUAAAAAAAUAAUGGUACUUUAAAAAUAAUAAUGAUUCAAAAAUAUAUAUUGUUACUUCCUUAAAUUUUCGCGAGUGUUAAUAAUUUCCUAUUAAAUACAGUGAUGUUUUAUUCAAAAUUCAUAGACGAAGAAAAACAGGACAUAAUAUGGGGGUGAAAUUUAAAGAAAACGACGAAAAUGCAAUAACAGUUCAUUGAAGAGUAACCUUAUUAUUGAGCAAAAGUUUGAUCUGAUGUCCGUCAGAAGGAUCAGCUUUUCCUGACCAAAUAGUGACACCAGUCAUUAUACUUCUUAUGGAAAACGUUUUGAAUUUUCUUGGAGUUCGGUUUUUUUUUUAUUUCACUUUUUUUAAGAGUCACAUCAGAAGAUUACGCAUCAUACAAAAGCGAAUUGAUGAAUGUAUUUUGUCUGACUCUAAUAAAUGAAUCAUCUGUUCAUGUAAAUUUAAAAAAAAACGACGAAAAUGCAACAACAGUUCAUUAAAUAGGAAACUUAUUAUUUAGCAAAAGUUGGAUCUCAUGUCCGUCAGAAGGGUCAGCUUUUCCUGACCAGAUAGUGACACCAGUCGUUAUACUUUAAAGGGAAAACGUUUUGAAUUUUCUUGGAGUUUUUUUGUUUUGUUUUUUUAACUUCUUUUUGAAGAGUCACAUCAGAAGAUUACGCAUUAUACAAAAGCGAAUUGAUGAAUGUAUUUGGUCUGACUCUAAUAAAUGAAUCAUAUGUUCAUGUAAAUCCCAUAAAACACAUCGAAUUUGAAAUUUUGUAAUAUGAUAGCGGUUUUUAAGACAAAUUAUGGAUAACAAAAUUAACGGUAUUAAACACAGUUUGAUAAAAUUAAAAAAACGUAAUAAAUCACUGAAAUCUAAAGCAAAUAGAAGACUGAAUAACAAAACUAUUUGUGGAUGAGUGUGCCCCCAGAGAAUAGACAGGUCCUGUUUUACUAGUGGAACUCGUCGUUUUCGACCAAAGUAAUUAAAAAUCCUUUGAUAAGUCUCAAUAUACUUUACAACCACAAUGAUCAAUAUGCAUAUGAAAUGAAAGAUUAAAAAGAGCAAAAUACAGAUAAGGUAAUCAUUUCCUGGGGAAGAAAAUCCUCAGUAUGGCGAAAAAUGAAAGUUGAUUUAUAAUUAUGACCAUAUCAAUGAUGAUUGAUGUGUUUGAGCUUUUGAUUUUGCCAUUUGAUAAAGGACUUUCCGUUUUGAAAUUUUCUUGAAGUUAGGUAUUUUUGUUAUUUUUUUUCCAUGUCAUCACAGAAAUGCUGACUUCUGAGCUGGUGAUUCUCUCGAGGAAGAAACCUCCACCAGCAGAGGCAUUCAGUGAUUCUAAAUAAACUCAUCAUAGUGUUGUGCCGGCCAAAAAUUGGUUCCUUACUAUGUCCUUUUAUGCUCCAUGAAUAUGUUAAAAUGGUCUCAAGUGUUAUAUUGUUAAUAUUUAUUGUUGUAAAGAUAUUUAGUUAUUCACACCCCUAUUAAAUCCUAUCUGGUUCCAUUGUAAUAUCCGUUUGUUUACAUCUGAUGUUAAAGUACAUUUCUGGAAUGUCACAGAAAAUAGAUUUAUGCAGAUUUGUUUACAUGUUGACGGUGACCCCGAAAUUAAUAGUUUACGCUUGUUGUGUAACAAAUAUGACUCGAUGCUGUAGAACUCAUAUAAUUGUGCUCUUCUAUGUUGUUUACAAACUUAUUUAUAUAUAUAUUAGCUCUCAUAUUGCAGUUUCAGUCUACUUUCACUUUUCACUUGUAGUUCAGAAUGUUCAUUUUGUCAGGUCACGAACCCACUUCAAUUGGGAAAUUUACUUACAUUACAUUCUGUCACUAGUUAUAUCAGGCAUUUCUAGCUUAAUAAUAUAUUUAUUUAUCCAACUAGAUAGGUGUGGAUCCCUUCCGAUGUAUGAAUUUAUUUGGUAUAUUGUGCUUAAGUCCCCGGAGGAUACGUAGAACCACCAUCUUUGAGCAAAUCUGCGCGUUUGCCCGGAAAUCGCAAAUAGAAUUAUUUGAUUGGCUAAUAUUAUUCUAUUUAUAAAGCGACGUCAGCGUACUUGUGACGUCAUUCUUCUCAGUUCAAUUUUCACUUGAUACACGUUUAUUUAACAGUCGCAUAGAUUUUAACUUGUUUCUAUUAUUAUGUCGCAGCAAUAUAUUCGCUCGGAUGUAGCCAUGGUACGUUAUCAUGAUAGUUUAAUUGCUUAUAAUAUUAAAAAUGCCUUUUAAGUAAAUUACUGUGUGUUUCCACUACAUAAACCAUUCUUUAACUUUAUUUGCACCGAGAAUCAAGUCAAAUUACACCGGGUGCAACAUUAUUUAGUCACUAGCUUCCGUAAAUCAUUGAUCAAUUAUAGAAAAGUUGUGAUUAUAAAUUACGUUUUAUAUUGAGAUGAUAUUACCAAUCAACUGAGUCGUUAUAUAUAUUUUACCCGUUUAUAUCGCUACUCGAAUUUAGCGGUGAAUCCAAGUUUGGAUUCGGCGCACCACAUCUACUUCGGUGUCUCUGCACCGUAUAAGGCAAAAUUUAUAUAAAUUGCUGAUACAAUGGACCUUGAUUGGAAAUGACCAUUUAUUGCUAAAUUAUAAACUUUGCAACUGCACCUCAUUUUUAUCGUAACGUCACCUGAACCUUAUGUGCAACUAAACCUUAAGUGCAACUGCACCUCAUUUUUAUAGUAACGUCACCUGAACCUUAGGUGCAACUGCACUUCACCAAAAAUAUAUCAAGUAAACCAUGAGAUCGAUAAAUCUUAUACAUUUUUAUGUUCUAUGUAUCCUCUUGGGGCACCUUUCGUGUAUUAUAUAAUAUCAUAAGUUUAUAGUAUUAAUACUACUGUCAAAACUGCAUAUUUUUAUGUUGUGCCUUAAAUACAGUAAUAAACAGGGUGUGAACUUUUA